GUCCUUCGGGGCGAGUACAGUGGCGCACGGGUGAGUAACGCGUAGAUGAUAUGCCUUUUAGUGGGGGACAACAGUUGGAAACGACUGCUAAUACCGCAUAAGCUUAGUGACAUUGAAAAAACUAAGGAAAGGGGGCUUCGGCUCUCGCUAAGAGAUUGGUCUGCGUGACAUUAGCUUGUUGGUGGGGUAAUGGCCUACCAAGGCAACGAUGUCUAGCUGGUCUGAGAGGAUGAUCAGUCACACUGGAACUGAGACACGGUCCAGACUCCUACGGGAGGCAGCAGUAGGGAAUAUUGCACAAUGGGGGAAACCCUGAUGCAGCAAUACCACGUGAGUGAGGAAGGCCUUCGGGUUGUAAAACUCUGUCCUAUAGGAGGAACGGCUUUACGGUUAAUACCCGUAUUGUUUGACGGUACUAUAGAAGAAAGCACCGGCUAACUCCGUG
rnacentral:rRNA from 1 species